rnacentral:lncRNA from 1 species
UAUAUCCUAGAUCUCUUUUGGUUUUUGGAUCAGAGCUGAGGCAAGCUUCUUUUACAAAUUUGUGCUGCAGUCUACUAAAAGAGCUGUUCCCUGCCAGGAGAAUAUUACAUACAGUUCUGAGAAAAAUGAACAGAGUCAGCUUGUUUGAGAGCUAACUGAUGCUUACUCACAACACUGAUAAGCCUGACAUUUACUGAGAAGUGCCACAAUUUUCAGUCCAAUGAAAAAUCCCAAGAGGAUGGUUUGUGGUUUUUUUUUUUUUUUUCAGUGAUGCUUCACAUUCUAUUGACUCAGGAUAAGCUGGAGUUUUCUGAAGUAUUUUAGUCAAAAAAAAUAAUGGAGCCCAACUCCUCCGCUUGAAUUACAUACAGAUGUACUAGUCUUCCUUGGCACAUUUGUUAAUGAUUGUGAUCAGAAGCUCUGGCCUCAAACCGCUCUGGGUAUGUGAUGCGAUAGCCAGGUGUGCAAGGAAGACAGUAGCUGAAGCAAUUGCUGAAGCAUUAGUGACUAUCCUGGAAGUUCUCGGAAGUGCAGGCUCCCUGGGUUUCACAGUUGGCACUGAAAUUGCAGAUAGGAUCCUGAAUGCAAUCAAUAAUGACCUGCACGUGGUCACUUUGAAUGGAUUGUCUCAGAGGAGUAGCCAACAAGAUAUGCACAACUGUGGAGAGUAAGCCUGGAGAACAUCCUCAGCUCUCUGAUAUGGGGAAGAAAAAUCUAGGUUGUACUGAAUUAUGAACGUGACUUCUACUGUAGAUAAAUUUAGUUUAGUAUAAAGCUGUGUGUAGUGGUCCCAAACUUUCAUCUUUCAAUCCUGCUUUCAUUUUCCUUUAUUGUUUGGAUGUAUUUUCAUCAUUCAUUCUGUGCUGUAGGAAGAAAAAAAAUUGUUUCUAUUUUGAGUUACUCAGCUGGCUGUCCCCAGGGUAUUUCCAAGUGGCCCUUAAAUGAGUGGAGGUAUUUUUCUGGUGUGCUUAGGCAGCCAUGAACUUGGAUCCACAGACCUCAGAAGGACUUUCCAGACGUACUCUGGAAAGCAGUAUUGCUCAUCUACAGAGUGCAAACUCAAAGAAUGAUGACUU